rnacentral:rRNA from 1 species
CCCCAGACUCCUACGGGAGGCAGCAGUGAGGAAUAUUGGUCAAUGGGCGGGAGCCUGAACCAGCCAAGCCGCGUGAAGGAAGAAGGCGCCAGGCGUCGUAAACUUCUUUUGUCGGGGAACAAAGGGCGCCACGCGUGGCGUUGUGAGUGUACCCGAAGAAAAAGCAUCGGCUAACUCCGUGCCAGCAGCCGCGGUAAUACGGAGGAUGCGAGCGUUAUCCGGAUUUAUUGGGUUUAAAGGGUGCGCAGGCGGCGUGUCAAGUCAGCGGUAAAAUGUCGGGGCUCAACCCCGGCCGGCCGUUGAAACUGGCGUGCUCGAGUUGGAGAGAAGUAUGCGGAAUUCGUGGUGUAGCGGUGAAAUGCAUAGAUAUCACGAAGAACCCCGAUUGCGAAGGCAGCAUACCGGCUCCACACUGACGCUGAGGCACGAAAGCGUGGGUAUCGAACAGGAUUAGAUACCCUAGUAGCU